rnacentral:misc_RNA from 1 species
AGAUUUGACAUCAGAGCCAGUCGCAAUUACGAUAUUCUUGCCUUUCACAACAGUGUUCCCACCAUCAAGAGUGUCUACAGACACCUCAGAGGGGGAGAUGAAUUUGCCAUACCCUUUCACAUAGUUCACUUUGUUUUUCUUGAAUAAACCUUCAAUACCUCGUGUAAGGUUAGCUACAGCUUUGUCUUUUUGGGCCAUCAUGGCUGGUAAAUCAACUUCAACAGAAGAAAACUUCACGCCGUGGUUGGCAAAUGAAUGCUGGGCUUCGUGGAACAUAUGGGAUGAGUGAAGAAGUGCCUUAGAAGGAUCGAGAAACGUGGAACUCUCGGUGGCACCUGCCUCAACGUUGGAUGCAAGUGGUUUUGAGUCCAAGCUGAGCGGCCUUGAUAGCUGCAACGUAGCCGCCAGGACCGCCGCCGAUAACGACAACAUCGUUGUCCUCAGAUCCCAAGGAGGCGAAUCCACGGGAGAAGCCGGUGAGCGAGAAGGAGUACCUGAGAGCAUUAGGAUUGCAAUUGGAGAAAUUUCGAGCGAGAAGGUAUGCCUUUCUUCUCGCGAAGCU